rnacentral:rRNA from 1 species
AACACUUCAACUCUUGUUGAAAUUUAAAAUUUUAAGUUUUCACUUAUUUAAAUGAAUACAAGUCUUAAUUGCCUUUUCGAAUUUGAAAGUGCAACAAUUUCGGGGUUUUAUCUACUGCAAGGGCUGCUUUGUGGGAAAAAAACCU